rnacentral:rRNA from 1 species
UACGUAGGGGGCAAGCGUUGUCCGGAAUUAUUGGGCGUAAAGAGCGUGUAGGCGGUCCGGUAAGUCCGCUGUGAAAGUCCAGGGCUCAACCCUGGAAUGCCGGUGGAUACUGCCGGGCUAGAGUCCGGAAGAGGCGAGUGGAAUUCCUGGUGUAGCGGUGAAAUGCGCAGAUAUCAGGAAGAACACCAACGGCGAAGGCAGCUCGCUGGGACGGUACUGACGCUGAGACGCGAAAGCGUGGGGAGCGAACAGG